GUCUACCUCCAUUUGGUUUUUUAAAAUUUGAAUUAUGAAUAAAACCGUUUUAAAACCAGAAGUGGCUUUUUCCUCUAGAGUAGUGUGGAUUCAGCAGUUCUGUGAUUAUUUCUGGGAAUAAGAAAGUCAAAUUUAACAAUCCAGUUUCCAUUGGUUAGCAGGGCUUUCUCUCUCUCUCUCUCUCUCUCUCUCUCUCUCUCUCUGUGUGUGUGUGUGUGUGUGUGUGUGUGUGUGUGUGUGUGUAUGUGUGCGUGCAUUUGAGUUGUAAACAUCAUGGUGAAUUUUAAAAAAAAAAAAGUAUUUGUUCCUAAUUAUAAUGGCUUCAUUUGAAGUGAAAUAUUGACAAUGGAUAUUUGAUUAAAGAUAUCCCUUUAAUGCCAACAAACAAGCAAACAAAACAAAACAAAACAAACAGAAAACCAAGACAUUUUGGAAAAGACGUGGUGUCUCAAACCCUAGGCAGGGAAAUGGCAGGGGUUGGAUCUUGACGGAAUGAGACCCUCACUUUGGUGGCUGCAGUGUCUUACAUGCCGUUUUAUAACUUCUGUUACUCUGUCACACCCAUGACUUCCUUGGAAGGUAUUUUUGAGGUUUGCUUUCCUUUUUUUUCUUCUUCUUUCUUUCUUUUAAAUGGUAAUAUUGAGGUGGGGGUGCUUCCUGUUUAUAUUUUCAAAAUUAGGUCCCCACGUCACCCUCCUCACCGGGUGACGAUUGUGCUUUAGCUGCGUGAAGGCCAGCAUCACACAUCAUGUGCUUUGUCUUUGGACUCUGUUGUCCUGCUUCAUGGGACAGCAUCACUGAGCUCAGUCCAAGACCCACUUGGGAACACAAGGCAUUCUUGAAUCUUUUCCCAUCUCUCUUCAAGGCGGGGCACUUUUGGAAGGAGCCUUAAAGCCUCCACAACAGAGGCACAGUUACCAGAGAAGUGGGGCUGUUGCCAGCUGUUUCCUCCCAGGUGCCUAGAAGACACCGGCUGAAGUUAGAAUCCAAUCUUUUGUGCUGUAAGGAGGAGCUGCCCCAGGGUAGGAGCUGAAGAUCCUGCAAACAGCAGCAGCUUUCCUGGCCUUACCCAAAAUCCACACACAGUUUCAUGGAGAAUGAAGUAUGAACCAGCGGAAAGUCAGACCUAGCAGUAGAUCUCUGAAGGGGUCACCCUCAGCCUUAAGACUCUUGAUCUUCUGGGGCGGUUGCCUCCCUUCCCCACCUGCCUUUGACAAGUGGGUUCGAAACCCUCACAGGGGUCACAUGUCAGAUAUCCUGCAUAUCAGAUAUUUACAUUAGAACUUAUAACAGGGGCUGGAGAGAUGGUUCAGCGGUUAAGAGCACUGACUGCUCCUUCCAGAGGUCCUGAGUUCAAUCCCCAGCAACCACAUGGCAGCUCAAAACCAUCUAUAAUGGGAGCCAAUGUCUUCUUCUGAUGUGUCUGAAGACAGCUACAGUGUAGUCAUAUACAUACAACAAAUAAAUCUUUGGGAAAAAAAAAGAAUUCAUAGCAGUAGCAAAGUUAUGAAACAGCAAAUGAGGUUGUAUACAUAUAUCUUUUUUUCUCUUCAAGACAAUCUUGGGGUCACCCCAAUAUGAAAAGCUGUACUAAAGGGGCAGCCUUAGCCUUAGGAAGGGUGAGAACCAUUGCUGUAGGGUCUUAUGUAGCCCAGCCUGGCCUUGAACUCUGUAGCCAGCCCAGGGUGGCCUUGAACUUCUGAUUCCUUUGUUCACCUCCAGACUGCUAGAAUAACAGGCCUGCACCACCAGACCUGGUUUGAUGAAGUGCUGGAGAGCGGACCGAGGGCUUCGUCCCCAGAUCCCUCGGUGACUUUUAUGUAGCAAGUCACUGUGGAUCUAAAUGCAGAGCGAGUGAUACGGAGCCUUGGGGAGAAGGAGCCAUGUUACUGUUUCCCUGUCCGUUCACUAACUUUCUUCGAAAUAGUGUGAUGACUAAAGAGACUGGAAACAGACUCUGCUGCCGGUGUGUUUGUGGUUUCAAGGCAGUUUCUCUCUUCUACAUUUUUCCUUUGGAUCACAAUCCUAAAAGAAAUAGCAUCCUUAGCGUGGAGUGGAGGUUACUCACAGUGAGAUCUACAAACCGCGUUGAACCUCCCUCAGGGUAGCUUUGCCUCAUGUUCCCUUCCAGAUCAGUGUCCAAGGAAGAAGAGGUUUAAAUUUGUCUCUCAGGGUAUUCUCUUCCCGGGGUUUAAUUACAGUAGCGACACCCAUUUUCCCUUGUAUUGUACAAGGAAGAUGAUAACUUUGGGGACUGGUUGAGGGACGGGUUGUCUCUUCUGACCUGCCCUUCCUGUCAAACCUACGACCACUUCAUUCUCCAGGAAUACUUCCACUGCCUCUGGCACUCUGGAGAGCCCUCUAAGAAUUCUUUGCACAUUUCUAUUAUGAAGAGAAAUAGCUGCAUAUUCCAUGCACAGCUAGGUUUUUUUUUUCUGAGGUACUUGUACUGACUCAUUUUUAAAAAUUACACUAAGAUGGAGAGGAUGGUUUGAGACCCAUAAUGAGAUUCUCAGAAAAUGCGAAAACUUUCCUUUAUGACUGGCUGCAGAAAGGCUGGGGAAGACAAGGGGAAAUACAUCAAUGAGCCAAUCAAUUAUUGUUAUUUGUUGCGAUUAAUUUGGUGAGUAAUCUUUUCAAUGCCCAUUGGGCUAGUAGAUAUGAAGUUGGCUUGACUCUGCAGCAAUGAUCGGACAAACCAAUCAUCAGGUUUUUCUGAUGUUGCUUGGUUUUCCCUGACAGGGGAUUUCUUUGUAUAUGGGGAACCAGGUCAAGGUUACCAACCAUAGCUACGUGUAUGGUUUGUAUUAAAGAUAAUUGUUGGAAGACCAGGUGUGGUGGCACAUGUCUUUCAUCCCAGAACUAGGGAGCAAGAGCAGGGGGGAGUCUGUGAGUUUGAAGCCAGCCUAAUGUACAUCAUAAGUUCCAGGAGGGGCUGCAUAGUGAGAGACUGUCUUAAAUAUUGUUGCUGUUUGUGGGCUACAGUACUGUAUAACAUGGCCUUACAAAUGGGUGCACUAAUUGUUUUACUAAUUAUUUUUGCCACCUCUCAAGAGAAUUAAUUAAAAGUUACCUCAACUUAUGCCCAAACCCAAAGCUGAAUAGAUGUUCCAGGGUCUUAAACUCAUAGAAAGAUUAUGAGAAUAAUACCUAAAAUUUAUGGUUCAUAGUAUGUCAGACAGACACUGUUACAGGUGUGUGCUUGUGUGUGUGUGUGCACCUGAGCACAUGAGAGUGCUCCUGUGUGCAUGCGUAAGCUAGUUAGUCUCAGACGUUAGUCUCAGGAGCCAUCCGCCUUGCUUUUGAGACAGAGUUUCUCAUGGGACCUGUGGCUUGCUGACUGGGCUUAGAUGUCUAGCCAGUGGUCCCCAGGGGUGGAAUCUUCCUCUCUCCACCUUCUCAGGGCUGGGGUUACAGAUGUUUGCCACCAUGCCCACCUCCUUUCUGUGGGCUCUAGAAGCUCAGGCCCCCAUGCUUGGGUGGCAAGGGUGUUACACAAUGAGUCAUCGCCCCAGCUCCCUCUUGUCUUGUUUUAUGAUCCUG
rnacentral:lncRNA from 1 species